rnacentral:rRNA from 1 species
ACGCACGCUGGCGGCGUGCUUAACCCAUGCAAGUCGAACGGAAAGGCCCUGCUUUUGUGGGGUGCUCGAGUGGCGAACGGGUGAGUAACACGUGAGUAACCUGCCCUUGACUUUGGGAUAACUUCAGGAAACUGGGGCUAAUACCGGAUAGGAGCUCCUGCUGCAUGGUGGGGGUUGGAAAGUUUCGGCGGUUGGGGAUGGACUCGCGGCUUAUCAGCUUGUUGGUGGGGUAGUGGCUUACCAAGGCUUUGACGGGUAGCCGGCCUGAGAGGGUGACCGGCCACAUUGGGACUGAGAUACGGCCCAGACUCCUACGGGAGGCAGCAGUGGGGAAUAUUGCACAAUGGGCGGAAGCCUGAUGCAGCAACGCCGCGUGCGGGAUGACGGCCUUCGGGUUGUAAACCGCUUUCGCCUGUGACGAAGCGUGAGUGACGGUAAUGGGUAAAGAAGCGCCGGCUAACUACGUG